rnacentral:antisense_RNA from 1 species
AGUGGAAACAGACCAGAUCUCAGCUUAUCUGGCUGGAAGGAAAGCAAAAAAAACAAAGCAAAACAAACCAAAAAAUCCUAAGAAACAAAAGACAGAUUCAAGCCAAUCUGUGAUUUGUAAAAUAAGCAAGGUGCAGGCUUGUGUGCCUUCAGCUGAAUGUAAGAAGUCCAGCUAUCAUGAGGUCUCCAUGUGGACAGACAACUCAGAGGAAUGAGAGAGAGAGAGACCUGAGCAGCUAGCAGUGCCAGCACCUAGAUGUUUGAAUCUUCCCAGCCCAGAUAUAUGAUGGAAAAAACUUCAGGAUGCCCAUUGGACAGCAACCACAUGAAAGACCCGGAGUGAGAACUCCUAAGCUGAGAUCUCACUCUUUCAGACUCCAGAGCCAAAUAAAUAAUUAUUAAUGUUUAAGCCACU